GUUUGCUUAUGUAUAAUUUUAUAUUGGUAAAUGGAAAAGUCACUUUGUUGAAAGUGUGGCAAAUGGUUUUUGGAUUUCUAACAAUGCAUUUAGCAUUGUUUAAAGGAGAUAAGAAGCCAACGUUUUUCAUCUUGCUCUCAUCAGGACUAAGACACAAGAAACAGAAGAAAGGAAUAUAAAUUUAAACAAUGUGAGAAAUGUUUACUGAUCAGUUAUGGAGGGAUUCUCAUUUGUGGAUCCCAUGUACUGUCACCACCCUGCUAGCUUGGUCAAAAACUUUGGGGUCUCGGGAGCUUUAGAUCACCACUGAGGAAAACCGUGAUUUUGAAGUACAGCUGGCCGUUCCGGUUUGCCGUACCUGGUGCCUCAACGAAGACUUUGGAUUGUGUAGGCCUUCAGUCUGGGUUGAGUCUGCUGAUGCAGGAGGAGGUAUUGGAUUUAUCAAGAGGUGUCAGUGAAAGGAUAGCUAGAGGCAAAUCAAAUCUCCAUCCCUUCAUCCCAAUGCUGGAACAAAAGAGAACCUACUACUGUGUCAUGGGGUUUCGGUGGAUGGGUAACAAAGGAAGAUUGAAAAACGACACCUGCUCCAAAAAUGUGUCCUGGACUGCUGUUCAACUGCUGAAUUUAAUUUAAGUCCUGCUAGCACUCCUGUGUCUGGCCAAGAGCCAGCAAAUGUAUCCAUGUCCUCUCCAUGACUGCUUUAGUGACCAGACAAUCAACGCUAUAACUAGAAGUGGGAGGACAAUGGGAUGGUUGCAGUUGAACCUGUUUCUAAUUUUCUACAUGAUAUCUGGCCCUCAUGAUUCCAACAAGCUUUUACUUUGUGAUAAUA